rnacentral:rRNA from 1 species
UACGAAGGGGGCUAGCGUUGUUCGGAUUUAUUGGGCGUAAAGCGCACGUAGGCGGAUUGUUAAGUCGGGGGUGAAAUCCUGGAGCUCAACUCCAGAACUGCCUUCGAUACUGGCAAUCUCGAGUCCGGAAGAGGUAAGUGGAACUCCUAGUGUAGAGGUGGAAUUCGUAGAUAUUAGGAAGAACACCAGUGGCGAAGGCGGCUUACUGGUCCGGUACUGACGCUGAGGUGCGAAAGCGUGGGGAGCAAACAGG